rnacentral:rRNA from 1 species
GACGAACGCUGGCGGCGUGCUUAACACAUGCAAGUCGAACGGAAAGGCCCUGCUUUUGUGGGGUGCUCGAGUGGCGAACGGGUGAGUAACACGUGAGUAACCUGCCCUUGACUUUGGGAUAACUUCAGGAAACUGGGGCUAAUACCGGAUAGGAGCUCCUGCUGCAUGGUGGGGGUUGGAAAGUUUCGGCGGUUGGGGAUGGACUCGCGGCUUAUCAGCUUGUUGGUGGGGUAGUGGCUUACCAAGGCUUUGACGGGUAGCCGGCCUGAGAGGGUGACCGGCCACAUUGGGACUGAGAUACGGCCCAGACUCCUACGGGAGGCAGCAGUGGGGAAUAUUGCACAAUGGGUGGAAGCCUGAUGCAGCAACGCCGCGUGCGGGAUGACGGCCUUCGGGUUGUAAACCGCUUUCGCCUGUGACAAAGCGUGAGUGACGGUAAUGGGUAAAGAAGCACCGGCUAACUACGUG